CCUACGGGCGGCUGCAGUGGGGAAUAUUGCGCAAUGGGCGAAAGCCUGACGCAGCAACGCCGUGUGGGUGAUGACGGUCUUCGGAUUGUAAAGCCCUGUUGAGGGGGACGAGCAAGGACGGUACCCCUCGAGGAAGCACCGGCUAACUCCGUGCCAGCAGCCGCGGUAAUACGGAGGGUGCAAACGUUGUUCGGAAUCAUUGGGCGUAAAGCGCACGCAGGCGGUUUAUCAGGUCGGAUGUGAAAUGCCGGGGCUCAACCCCGGAACUGCGUUCG
rnacentral:rRNA from 1 species